CUGCGAAGCUCCUGGCAGGAUGCCACUUGUUCUUUUGUCCUCCCACUUGGUCUACGACAAGCUUUAUUCCAAACCAAUCCUACCCAGAUCUCAUGUAUCCCCUCCCCCAGCUGUAUGUCUGUGUCACCCUACUACGCUCUCUCCUCUUUUCUCCUUUCCUCUGCUGCUUGCUGGCUUCAUUCAUUGACUAAUGCGGCUGGGCUAAAGGCAGAAAUAGAAAGAUGGAGGGAUUUGAAAAAGAGCAGAGUGUGAUUUUAUCUGAGAAUCCACAGAGGCGUUGGAUGGAAAAGCAACCGUGUCUUUUGCACAAAAACCCACAUCAUCUGAAUAUUCGGAAGGACCAAGAGUUAUACAAUCUGAGAAUGCAAAGUUACGGAGAAAAGAUGCUGAGAGAAAAGAUGGAAGACUAUAAUCAGUUUAAGAGAAAGUUGAGGGUGUGUGUUGCAACAUGCAACAGAGCGGACUACUCCAAGCUUGCCCCCAUCAUGUUUGGGAUCAAAACCAACCCUGACGAGUUUGAAUUGGAAGUUGUGGUGCUUGGCUCACAUCUCAUCGAUGACUACGGGAACACUUUCCGUAUGAUCGAGCAGGACAACUUUGACAUUGGCUCUAAGCUACACACCAUUGUGAGAGGAGAGGAUGAGGCAGCCAUGGUGGAGAGCGUUGGGCUGGCACUUGUGAAACUCCCUGAUGUACUACAGAGGCUGCGCCCUGACAUCCUGGUCGUCCAUGGUGACCGGUUUGACGCGUUGGCCCUAGCAACUGCUGCAGCGCUGAUGAACAUUAGAAUACUUCACGUGGAGGGAGGAGAGGUGAGUGGUACAAUUGAUGACUCAAUCCGCCACGCCAUCAGUAAACUGGCCCAUUACCACGCCUGCUGCACACGCAGGGCAGAGCAGCACCUCAUCGCCAUGUGCGAGGACCACUCGCGCAUCCUGCUGGCUGGCUGCCCUUCAUAUGAUAAGCUGCUGUCAAAUAAUCACAGAGACGACUACAUGGAUAUCAUCAAGAGCUGGCUGGGUGACAAGGUGCAGGAGUGUGACUACAUUGUGGCUUUGCAGCACCCAGUUACCACUGACAUCCAGCACUCUAUUAAGAUCUACGGGCUGAUGCUGGAUGCCCUGAUCGCCUUCGAUAAAAAGACCCUCAUCCUCUUCCCUAACAUUGAUGCUGGAAGUAAGGAGAUGGUGCGCGUGAUGCGAAAGAAGGGAAUCGAACAGCACCCCAACUUCCGGGCGGUGAAGCACAUUCCCUUUGAUCAGUUCAUCCAGCUGGUGAACCACGCCGGCUGCAUGAUUGGAAACAGCAGCUGCGGGGUACGAGAGGCAGGGGCCUUCGGCACGCCUGUCAUUAACCUUGGAACAAGGCAAACUGGCAGAGAAACGGGUGAGAAUGUUCUACAUGUCAGAGAUGACGACACUCAGAAUAAGAUCUACCACGCUCUGGAGCUGCAGUAUGGAAAGAGAUACCCUUGCUCCAAGAUUUACGGCGAUGGAAAUGCAGUGCCUCGCAUUCUCAAGUUUUUACAAACCAUUGACCUGGAUGAACCUCUGCAGAAGACUUUCUGUUUCCCCCCCGUUAAAGACUCCAUCUCCCAGGACAUUGAUCACAUCCUGGAGACACAGAGCGCUCUGGCUAUUGACCUGGGAGGGACCAACCUCAGGGUGGCGAUUGUCGGGAUGAGGGGUAACAUAGUAAAGAAGUACACUCAGCCCAAUCCAAAGACCUACGAGGCCAGGAUGCAGCUUAUAUUGAAGAUGUGUGCAGAUGCCAUGCAUGACUCAGUCAGCCUCAACUGUAGAAUACUCGGUGUUGGAGUGUCCACUGGCGGGCGUGUAAACCCACAAGAAGGUGUGGUCCUGGACUCCACAAACCUGAUCCAGGAGUGGUCCUCAGUGGACCUGAGGACACCCAUCUCUGACUCCCUGCACCUACCCGUCUGGGUCGACAAUGACGGUAACUGUGCUUCGUUGGCUGAGAAGAAAUUUGGUCACGGCAAGAGGGUGGAGAACUUUGUCACUGUCAUCACAGGAACAGGUAUUGGCGGAGGGAUUAUCCAUAACAAUGAGCUGGUUCACGGCAGCACCUUCUGCGCUGCAGAGCUGGGCCACAUCAUGGUUUCAUUAGAAGGUCCAGAGUGUUCGUGUGGUAGCAGAGGAUGCAUAGAGGCCUACGCGUCCGGCAUGGCCCUGCAGAAAGAGGCCAAAAGGCUGCACGACGAGGACCUGCUGGAGGUGGAGGGGAUGAAUAUAAAGCUUGCAGAGCCGAUCACUGCUGCCCACCUCAUCAGUGCAGCCAGACUGGGGAACAACAACGCGGACACUGUUCUGAACAAAGCCUCCACGGCGCUAGGUGUGGGCAUCGUUAACAUCCUCCACACAGUGAACCCCACACUGGUGAUUCUGUCCGGAGUCUUGGCCUCUUACUACCAAGCCCCAGUGCAGCGCAUCAUCUCUGAGAGAGCGCUACCGUCUGCCCAGAACAUCAAGGUCGUCACAUCAGAGUUGGAGGAACCUGCUCUACUUGGAGCAGCGAGCAUGGUGUUAGACUAUGCAACCAGAAGGCUAUAUUGAAGGAUAUAGUCCUGAUUUAACAAGGACCGUUGCCAACAAAAGGACUACAAAACUGAAAGUAGCACAUGUACUGCCCAGAUAGACACAUAAGCAUAGGGGAUACAUUUUGAAGGCUAGACAAUUAUAAUGUGUGUGUGUGUGUGUGUGUGUGUGUGUGUGUGUGUGUGAGAGAGAGAGUGUGAGAGAGAGUGUGAAUACGUUGCACAGAUACCAGUUUACUAUCCCAACAGUUAGCUCCACUGCCUAGAUAGAAGUUAGUUAUAAUGUCUGUUUGUUGUGGUCCUUCUAGUCCCUUUUGUGUAUUUGUAGGUGGUUGUGACGGUGAUUGUUCAUUGGCUUCUCAUCCCCAUUUUGCUUUGUGUACUGUGUUGUAGUUAGUAGCUGAGUUUGUGCUUGCAGAUUGGGUGGGGAAUAGAAGUAAAGACCUUGUAAGUAGAAAGGUAUUACGGCAGUGGAAUUAUUACUAUGUUUGUGGGUGGGGUGUGAUGAGGGAUUACAUUUGUUUAGCCAUAAUCUGUGGCUUGCAUCUCCAAAUGUCUUGUGAUAGUGGCACUGAUCCAUUUUUUUCAGAUUGUAGUUUUCUUUUCUUUUCUUACUUUUGUGUUUUAAUUUCAAGUGCUAUGUGGUAAACCCUGUAGUGUAAAUAUCAUCUUCUUUUUUGUUUGAUAGAUGGUUUAAAAGUGCCAAACUUUCACCAAGAAGAAAUUGAUCUGUUCCACAAUUCUGACACAUGAAAUCCAAGUAAACGCAUUCUUUGCCACACCUCUAAAUAGUCUGCUUUUCAGCCGCAGUGCAUGGCUAAGGCCCAGCUGCGCUUCCAGUUCUUUUGGACUUGGUUAAAAAAAGAAAGAAAAAAAAGCCACUUGCCAUUAUUGUUCCUUUUUUAAUCAAGGACAAGUAUAUAGAUGAGCUCAUCAUUCCUAUACUUGGGUCUUGUUGAGGAAAAGAGAACAUUAUAAAUAUGCAACCACAGGGCAAGUUGAAGUUUCCCCUCCCCCAGUUCUGUACAGAACUGCAUUUUUAACCAACCAAAGAUGCUUUUCAGACCUUACAAUUACUUUGUUUAGCUUUUGUUUCUGUUUGUUUUCUUUGGAGUUCUCAUCAGUGUUUUAAAUGUACCUCCCUUAACUGUUGUGGCGAGUCAAAAAUACAGGUGACUGUAAUGUGUAAGCAGAGUUGGGGGCAUGCCACAGGUAAUGAAACUGUUGUAGCUUGUUUCUCUUUGUGGGCCUGAAGACAGAUGGAUGUCCAUUGUUUCUGUGUUGUGAUUGGAAUGUCCUGCCCUGAGGUAGACUCUGCUGAACCAUCAAUGUCCCAUCAAACCAUAAAAGGAGAUUGUAGAUAUUUAUGCUCAAUAGAUUUGAGGACUUUUUCUCAAAUCUUGAUGCCAGAUUGAAAUUUUAACUUUGAUUUAAAGUGGACAUAUCCUUAAAAAAAAGUAACUUGUUCAGUGCUUGUGCACAGACAUUUAGGUAUCGGGAGUGCCUACCAACCCACAAAUGUUGAAAUAAGACAACCCAGUCUGUCUGUUGUGGGCUGCUUGAGUCAGAAAACGUGAUUCAACAAGCCCUUCAGUUUUGUCUCCCCUUCCUAUGUCACAUGCAGGCUCAUUACAAUAUACCGCCCUCAUUAGAGUAUCUCCACAAAACUACCAUCGCAAUAUUUCUUGGAACGUAAUAGAGCAGAUGGGGUCCUUUUUUGAGACAGGCGCUAAAGUGAAGGUGCUUAAGACUAUGAGAAAAACAAUCAGUUACUUAGCAUGGUACUCUGUCCCCAUUAAUAUAUCUGAAAAAGUAAAUUGUCAGAGGCUCGAUUGUAUUUUCCAGCCAAACUUGUGAUUGUCGGUGAUCAGCAGAGGACUUCCUAAGAGCCGUACGUGUACUUUGGUGUAUCUUGCUUCUUCCUCCACUGAUUGUGUUCUAUUCCAUGUCCUCUUCAUCCUCUUCCCUUUUUU